UACGGGAGGCAGCAGUGGGGAAUAUUGGACAAUGGGGGCAACCCUGAUCCAGCCAUGCCGCGUGAGUGAAGAAGGCCUUCGGGUUGUAAAGUUAUUUCAGAUGCGAAGAUGAUGACGGUAACAUCAGAAGAAGCCUCG
rnacentral:rRNA from 1 species